UACACGACUCUCGGCAAUGGAUAUCUCGGCUCUCGCAUCGAUGAAGAGCGCAGCGAAAUGCGAUACAUGGUGCGAAUUGCAGAAUCCCGCGAACCAUCGAGUCUUUGAACGCAAGUUGCGCCCGAGGCCAUCCGGCCAAGGGCACGUCUGCCUGGGCGUCAAUC
rnacentral:rRNA from 1 species